GACGUAGGGCGCGAGCGUUGUCCGGAUUUAUUGGGCGUAAAGAGCUCGUAGGCGGCUUGUCGCGUCGUUCGUGAAAACCCGGGGCUCAACUCCGGGCUUGCGGGUGAUACGGGCAGGCUAGAGUUCGGUAGGGGAGACUGGAAUUCCUGGUGUAGCGGUGAAAUGCGCAGAUAUCAGGAGGAACACCGGUGGCGAAGGCGGGUCUCUGGGCCGAUACUGACGCUGAGGAGCGAAAGCGUGGGGAGCGAACAGG
rnacentral:rRNA from 1 species